rnacentral:rRNA from 1 species
GCAUAACGCGAAGAACCUUACCCACCUUUGACAUGUACGGAAUCCUUUAGAGAUAGAGGAGUGCUCGAAAGAGAGCCGUAACACAGGUGCUGCAUGGCUGUCGUCAGCUCGUGUCGUGAGAUGUUGGGUUAAGUCCCGCAACGAGCGCAACCCUUGCCAUUAGUUGCUACAUUUAGUUGAGCACUCUAAUGGGACUGCCGGUGACAAACCGGAGGAAGGUGGGGAUGACGUCAAGUCCUCAUGGCCCUUAUAGGUGGGGCUACACACGUCAUACAAUGGCUGGUACAAAGGGUUGCCAACCCGCGAGGGGGAGCUAAUCCCAUAAAGCCAGUCGUGGUCCGGAUCGCAGUCUGCAACUCGACUGCGUGAAGUCGGAAUCGCUAGUAAUCGUGGAUCAGAAUGUCACGGUGAAUACGUUCCCGGGUCUUGUACACACCG